CCCCCACUCGAACAGGGUUAGCGCCGCCCCUGUUUGUACAAAAAGACCGAGAUUUCUCUGUAAAGACCAAGCAUGCAAGCGAGGUUAAUAAAAAGUUUAUUAUAUGGCAUUUAUACUUGAAACAAACAAGAAAUUUAUGAUUUGAAAUGUAUAUUGAUAGCGUGGUACAUAUUUGAUCGAAUAUAGCAAUGUAUUCCUUCCUUUCCACUUAAAACCAUUCGCAG